rnacentral:rRNA from 1 species
UACGUAGGGGGCAAGCGUUGUCCGGAAUCAUUGGGCGUAAAGAGCGCGUAGGCGGCCCUGUAAGUCCGCUGUGAAAGUCCAGGGCUCAACCCUGGGAUGCCGGUGGAUACUGUCGAGCUUGAGUCCGGAAGAGGCGAGUGGAAUUCCUGGUGUAGCGGUGAAAUGCGCAGAUAUCAGGAGGAACACCAAUGGCGAAGGCAGCUCGCUGGGACGUGACUGACGCUGAGACGCGAAAGCGUGGGGAGCAAACAGG